CNUUCUGUGCCGGAGUUAACGCAAUAAGUACCCCGCCUGGGGAGUACGACCGCAAGGUUGAAACUCAAAGGAAUUGACGGGGGCCCGCACAAGCGGUGGAGUAUGUGGUUUAAUUCGACGCAACGCGAAGAACCUUACCAGGUCUUGACAUUGAUGGACAGAACUAGAGAUAGUUCCUCUUCUUCGGAAGCCAGAAAACAGGUGGUGCACGGUUGUCGUCAGCUCGUGUCGUGAGAUGUUGGGUUAAGUCCCGCAACGAGCGCAACCCCUAUCUUAUGUUGCCAGCACUUCGGGUGGGAACUCAUGAGAGACUGCCGCAGACAAUGCGGAGGAAGGCGGGGAUGCCGUCAAAUCAUCAUGCCCCUUAUGACCUGGGCUACACACGUACUACAAUGGGAGUUAAUAGACGGAAGCGAAACCGCGAGGUGGAGCAAACCCGAGAAACACUCUCUCAGUUCGGAUCGUAGGCUGCAACUCGCCUACGUGAAGUCGGAAUCGCUAGUAAUCGCAGGUCAGCAUACUGCGGUGAAUACGUUCCCGGGCCUUGUNC
rnacentral:rRNA from 1 species